GCAGUGGGGAAUAUUGGACAAUGGGCGAAAGCCUGAUCCAGCCAUGCCGCGUGUGUGAAGAAGGUCUUCGGAUUGUAAAGCACUUUAAGUUGGGAGGAAGGGCAGUCAGUUAAUACCUUGCUGUCUUGACGUUACCAACAGAAUAAGCACCGGCUAACUUCGUGCCAGCAGCCGCGGUAAUACGAAGGGUGCAAGCGUUAAUCGGAAUUACUGGGCGUAAAGUGUGUGUAGGUGGUUCAGCAAGUUGGAUGUGAAAGCCCCGGGCUCAACCUGGGAACUGCAUCCAAAACUGCAUGACUAGAGUACGGUAGAGGGUGGUGGAAUUUCCUGUGUAGCGGUGAAAUGCGUAGAUAUAGGAAGGAACACCAGUG
rnacentral:rRNA from 1 species